CGAGAUGGUGUGGUGAAUCGGAAUGACUUCAGGGCUCUGUUUGACAGCCUGAUGUUUGUAACCAAAGAGAAGGAGUAUCAGAGAUUGCUUGACCUGUUGGGCCUUACGCCUGGCUGCACACUCAACUACGCUGAGUUCUACAACAAAGUUCACUCUAGCAGCAAGACGAAAUCACAUCACCACGAUAACACCUCAGGAGAUGGAUACCUUGACACUGCAUGUGACCAAGUUCAUGGCUAUUUGACAUCCAUUGCACAGAAAAGACCUUCAGAGCUCUCAAAGGUGAUCUACAUCCAGUCCUGGUCACUUUUUUGAUGCUAUAUGGCAGUUGUCUUGAACGUACACUGACACCUAGUGGCCUGGAUGUAGCAUAAUGCAAAAAUAUAGCUUUCAGUUACCAGUAUUGGAGUAAAAAUGCAUUAUAUUAGCAGGCAGCCAUGUUUAUAGCAAUAUGUGUUUGUUUUAUUAAGAUAAACUGAAAAGUAUUUGACCGGUCAUGUGAUCUCAAAAUGGUGGCUUCCAUGAGGAGACCCGCUACAUGUACAAACGUUUUAAUGAGGAAUUAAACAUACUUUUUACAUAACAAUUGUGUUGGCAGGCCAUUUGUCAGUUGGGUGACGAUGUUAAAAGCAUCAUGACCAAAAAUGGUCUAAAGCAGCUACUUUUUAAAUACUACAUGCCCAUCACACCAAACGAGUUUGAAAAACUCUGGGACAGAUAUGAUGAAGAGGGGAAGGGCUUUGUCACUCAGACAGAGUUUUUAAGAAAGCUUAAAAUCACAUCAGAUGAAGACAGCCAAUCAGACGCUUUACAAGAACAGCUCACCGAGAGGGCAAUUUCCGCACCUGACCUGGAAGUUAUGCUACAAAAUCUUAGGAAGUGGAUUGGGAAUGACUUUGAGAGAGUGAGUGGAAGCCUCGUGAUUCUAGAUAAAAACAAAGAUGGUCACGUGACCGUGACAGACCUGCUCUCUCUCCUGCACAGACAUGGAUUUCAACUAAGAGAACAACAGCUCACACAUCUACUGAACCUGUAACUCUCUAUAUCAGACAUGUUCAUUUACUCAAAAUAUGGUGAUUGUUAUUAGCUACUG
rnacentral:lncRNA from 1 species